GACGAACGCUGGCGGCGUGCUUAACACAUGCAAGUCGAACGGACUGAGUUGAUAGCUUGCUAUUGAUGAGGUUAGUGGCAAACGGGUGAGUAACGCGUAGGCAACCUGCCCUUCAGAUGGGGACAACACCUCGAAAGGGGUGCUAAUACCCCAUAUUAUAUAGUUAUUGCAUGAUGAUUAUAUGAAAACCUUGGUGGUGACGGAUGGGCAUGCGGUGCAUUAGCUAGUUGGUGAGGUAACGGCUCACCAAGGCGACGAUGCAUAGGGGUUCUGAGAGGAAGGUCCCCCANACUGGUACUGAGACACGGUCCAGACUCCUACGGGAGGCAGCAGUGAGGAAUAUUGGGUCAAUGGUCUGACGACUGAACCAGCCAUGCCGCGUGAAGGUGACGGCCCUAUGGGUCUUAAACUUCUUUGUAAGGGAGCAAUAAGGUCUACGUGUAGAUUGAUGAGAGUACCUUACGAAUAAGCAUCGGCUAAC
rnacentral:rRNA from 1 species